CUGAAAAGUGCAUCGUCACUCUGCAGGGUAAGUUUCGAAUUCGUUUGGACAAAGUGCAUACAUUAGAAAUUCGAGAAGAUUAGUGUUUGGGGAAAGUUGACAGUCUCAGAAGAUCUGAUAAACCUGAUGAACAAGUGGCAGGCAUUCGUGAUUGAACAUCUUUAAGCAACAUGCUUGUCCGAUCCUCUUCAAACAUAAAUCGGUCACGACACCACGAGGCGAGAGAAAAUGAGGGAACACAGCGCCGCGCGGAAGAUCGGCGCCGAAAGAGUGGGAUCCGAGGCGAAGCAACACGGAGGAUGGAAACGGAAAACGAAACGGGCAGGACACGCGGCGGAGGAGAAGACGGCGCGACGUAACCUUGCCGGCAGCACGGGAAGUCUGGAGCAGAAGCGGACGAACGGGCGAAAGAUCCCAGGGUAACAUUUUUAAAAUGGACUUUCAACCAGCCUGAUCGUGCGAGUGCUCCAUUGUGCGGCGUGCCUUCGCCUUCUCGCGGGUGGCGCGGCGCGGCGCGGAGCGAAACGACCGCCGACGAAAUAGAAUC